CGGCGAGGAGAGGAGCGGCGGCGGCGUUGAGUGGCUGUCCCCCGUCGGAGCUAGGCGAGAAAGGAGCGGGCGGCGGCGCCGCAACUUCACAUCCCGGAUCCGUCCGAACCACAUGAAGAUUCGUGGAGUGUUGUUGCCCCUUCAGGCUACCUGAUGUUGGGCCGAGAGCCUUGGACGAAGAUAGGUCAUCGCCAUGAACGAGUCAACAUGUGUGUUUGCUAGAGUGGACGAACCGUGUUCUUAGUGACAUCUACUUCACUUUUUUACGUAUCAAAAGGAUCGAACGAUUAAAAGCCUUUUAUCUAUGUUGAUAAAUUUAUUCUCUUAUAAAUUUUCAUGUUUUUUCCAAUUCGGUACAUUUGUAACAAACCAUGGUGUUCAAAAUAUUUGUACCUCGUGA